UGAUACAUUAAAUGGAUAACUGUAGAAAACUAGAGCUAAUACAUGCCAAAACCGAAAGGUUGUAUUUAUUAGAUAUUCCAAAUAGGUGAUUCAUAAUAACUUAGCAAAUCUCAGCUAUGCUGAGAUAAAUCAUAUAAGUUUCUGCCCUAUCAUGCUUACGAUGGUAGUGUAUUGGACUACCAUGGCUUUCACGGGUAACGGAGAAUUAGGGUUCGAUUCCGGAGAAGGAGCCUGAGAAAUGGCUACUAGAUCUACGGAUUGCAGCAGGCGCGUAAAUUACCCAAUCCUGAUUCAGGGAGGUAGUGACAAGAUAUAUCGAAGCAAUUUUAUUUGCUAUCGAAGUGAAAGUAUUCUAAACCGAUCUCAGAGUACUAUUGGAGGGCAAGUCUGGUGCCAGCAGCCGCGGUAAUUCCAGCUCCAAUAGCAUAUAUUAACGUUGUUGCAGUUAAAAAGCUCGUAGUUGGAUUUUAGCGGAACUUCAAGAAAUUCUUGAGGCUAGCUACUGGUCUUUGACCGUUACUGUGAGAAAAUUAGAGUGUUUCAAGCAGGCUUAUGCAGGAAUACAUUAGCAUGGAAUAACGAAUAAGUCUAGAAUCUUGGUUAAUUCUAGAACUUGAUUAAUAGGGACAGUUGGGGGCAUUAGUAUUUAAUAGUCAGAGGUGAAAUUCUUGGAUUUGUUAAAGACUAACUUAUGCGAAAGCAUUUGUCAAGGAUGUUUUCAUUAAUCAGCGGGCUAAAGAUAGGGGAUCAAAGACGAUCAGAUACCGUCGUAGUCCUAUCCAUAAACUAUACCGACUCGGGAUUGGUGCGAAGAAGUUUCGCAUCAGUACCGUAUGAGAAAUCAUUAAGUCUUUGGGUUCUGGGGGGAGUAUGGUCGCAAGUCUGAAACUUAAAGAAAUUGACGGAAGGGCACCACCAGGAGUGGAGCCUGCGGCUUAAUUUGACUCAACACGGGGAAACUUACCAGGUUAAGACAUAAUAAGGAUUGACAGAUUGAUAGCUCUUUCUUGAUUUUAUGGGUGGUGGUGCAUGGCUGUUCUUAGUUGGUGGAGUGAUUYGUCUGGYUAAUUCCGAUWACGAACGAGACCUUAAUCUGCUAAAUAGUUUGACGUAU
rnacentral:rRNA from 1 species